rnacentral:rRNA from 1 species
UUUAAGUUGGUAAUGGUAGACGCGAAACCGUGUGAUCUACCCUUGGGCAGGUUGAAGCUGUGGUAACACAUAGUGGAGGACCGAACCCGUUGACGUUGAAAAGUCUUGGGAUGACCUGAGGGUAGGGGUGAAAGGCCAAUCAAACUCGGAAAUAGCUCGUACUCCCCGAAAUGCAUUUAGGUGCAGCGGUAUAAUAGUUUUAUAGAGGUAGAGCUACUGAUUGGAUGCGGGGGCUUCACCGCCUACCAAUUCCUGACAAACUCCGAAUGCUAUAAAAUGUUUUAUAUCAGUGAGGGCAUGGGUGCUAAGGUCCGUGUCCGAGAGGGAAAGAACCCAGACCAUCAGCUAAGGUCCCAAAAUAUAUGUUAAGUUGAAGAAACGCGGUUGGACUGCCCAGACAGCUAGGAUGUUGGCUUGGAAGCAGCCAUUCAUUUAAAGAGUGCGUAACAGCUCACUAGUCGAGCGGUCCGGCAUGGAUAAUAAUCGGGCAUAAACAUAUUACCGAAGCUAUGGAUUUCAUAUUUAGAUAUGGAGUGGUAGGGGAGCAUUGUAACAGAGAUGAAGGUGUACUGCGAGGUAUGCUGGAUUGGUUACAAAAGAAAAUGUAGGCAUAAGUAACGAUAAUGCAGGCGAGAAACCUGCACACCGAAAGACUAAGGUUUCCCCAGCUAUGCUAAUCAGCUGGGGGUUAGUCGGGACCUAAGGCGAACCCGAAAGGGGUAGUCGAUGGACAACAGAUUAAUAUUUCUGUACUUGCCCCACGUUAAAGCGGACGGAGGCGAAAAGUUGGUGCGUGCUGACGGAAUAGCACGUUGAAGGGAGUGGUAACACCCCGAUAGUACACAAAAGCUUCGGCCGGCGUGAUAAUCCAGCGGAUCGACUUCCAAGAAAAGCGAGUGGAGGCAACCCGUACCAUAAACCGACACAGGUAGUUGGGAUGAGAAUUCUAAGGUGCUCGAGAGAUUCAUGGCUAAGGAACUAGGCAAAAUGGGCCCGUAACUUCGGGAGAAGGGUCGCCCCGCUUCGGCGGGGCCGCAGUGAAGAGGUCCAGGCGACUGUUUAUCAAAAACACAGGGCUCUGCUAAAUCGAAAGAUGAUGUAUAGGGCCUGACACCUGCCCGGUGCUGGAAGGUUAAGAGGAGAUGUUAGCUUCGGCGAAGCAUUGAAUUGAAGCCCCAGUAAACGGCGGCCGUAACUAUAACGGUCCUAAGGUAGCGAAAUUCCUUGUCGGGUAAGUUCCGACCUGCACGAAUGGUGCAACGAUCUGGACACUGUCUCAGCCAUGAGCUCGGUGAAAUUGUAGUAUCGGUGAAGAUGCCGAUUACCCGCUACGGGACGAAAAGACCCCGUGCACCUUUACUAUAGCUUAGUAUUGACUUUGGACAAGUGAUGUGUAGGAUAGGUGGGAGACUUUGAAGCGCCGUCGCCAGGCGGUGUGGAGUCAUUGUUGAAAUACCACCCUUUACUUGUUCGGAGCCUAACCUCAUUAUUGAGGGACAGUGCUUGGUGGGUAGUUUGACUGGGGUGGUCGCCUCCAAAAGAGUAACGGAGGCUUCUAAAGGUUCCCUCAGCACGCUUGGUAACCGUGCGUAGAGUGCAAUGGCAAAAGGGAGCUUGACUGAGAGACAUACAGGUCGAUCAGGUACGAAAGUAGAGCAUAGUGAUCCGGUGACACCGCAUGGAAGGGUCAUCGCUCAAAGGAUAAAAGGUACGCCGGGGAUAACAGGCUGAUCUCCCCCAAGAGCUCACAUCGACGGGGGGGUUUGGCACCUCGAUGUCGGCUCGUCACAUCCUGGGGCUGGAGAAGGUCCCAAGGGUUGGGCUGUUCGCCCAUUAAAGUGGCACGCGAGCUGGGUUCAGAACGUCGUGAGACAGUUCGGUCUCUAUCUGUAGUGGGCGUUAGAAAUUUGAGUGGACCUGAUCCUAGUACGAGAGGACCGGAUUGGACCAACCUCUGGUGCACCAGUUGUUCCGCCAGGAGCAUUGCUGGGUAGCUACGUUGGGAAGGGAUAAGCGCUGAAAGCAUAUAAGCGCGAAACCCACCACAAGAUGAGAUUUCUUUAAAGGACCGUGGGAGACGACCACGUUGAUAGGCCACAGGUGUAAAGGCAGCAAUGUCAUAGCCGAGUGGUACUAAUAAUCCGUAAAGCUUGAUGCGAUUCCCACGCCUUGCAAGAGGUGUGGGGACUUGAAUGCUUUAUCUUGA